GAUGUACGCUGGCGGCGUGCCUAAUACAUGCAAGUCGAGCGAACAGACGAGGAGCUUGCUCCUCUGACGUUAGCGGCGGACGGGUGAGUAACACGUGGAUAACCUGCCUAUAAGACUGGGAUAACUUCGGGAAACCGGAGCUAAUACCGGAUAAUAUAUUGAACCGCAUGGUUCAAUAGUGAAAGACGGUUUUGCUGUCACUUAUAGAUGGAUCCGCGCCGCAUUAGCUAGUUGGUAAGGUAACGGCUUACCAAGGCAACGAUGCGUAGCCGACCUGAGAGGGUGAUCGGCCACACUGGAACUGAGACACGGUCCAGACUCCUACGGGAGGCAGCAGUAGGGAAUCUUCCGCAAUGGGCGAAAGCCUGACGGAGCAACGCCGCGUGAGUGAUGAAGGUCUUCGGAUCGUAAAACUCUGUUAUUAGGGAAGAACAAAUGUGUAAGUAACUAUGCACGUCUUGACGGUACCUAAUCAGAAAGCCACGGCUAACUACGUG
rnacentral:rRNA from 1 species